UCGCAAGUCCUUCCAGCGAAGCUGGGUCUGCUGUAUGGCCUUGUCUUUUCCUUGGGAACUUGCUAGAUUAAUAUUUGAAGUGGUUUGAGGCCUCUUUGUUGCUGUCAAAAAGAGGUCAUAGAAUCUUCAGACAGCC